AGCUCUUCCUCAUUUCCCGUGUCUCUUCCCCGUAGCACCUCCACGCCCAUCCCCUCCAAAUGCUCUAUCGUUAGUGCGUCUCAGCCUUGCACCGCCGUCUUACCUUGUGCCGCCAUCGCACCGAACCUCCAUUGCACUGAACUUCCAUCGCCGCGAAACUCUGUCACACCCCUUCCCGGCUCUUCUCUGUGUGUUGCUGAUUCCCCUUCGAACCCUAAUAUGCAUUUCUCCGCCACCGUCUUUGUCGCCUCCGUCCUCGUCCUCUUCACCUUCUCCUGCGUUCACUCUUUCUACCUUCCCGGUGUCGCCCCUUGAGAUUUUCAAACCAAAUCACAAGUGCAUUUCUCGCUCGUGUGUUGCUCAGUUGAUGUGUUUUUCUCUUCGAUCUCGCCUCAGCCGUGCAGGUAACCCUAAUCAGAAGGAGGUGCUGUGAGGUUUUUGUUGUAUUUUGUUGAUGUAUUUUGUUGUUGUUAUGAGGUUUUUUCUAAUUUUCAUACAAUAUGGAUAACAUUGUAGUAAAGAGUACUACUACUUUGGGUUUUAUAUAUAAUAAUGCUUUUCCUGUCAUUGAAACAUGAAAUAGUAGCAGCAGGAGAUAACAAUUACAAUUAUCCAUACUUUUGUUUGAAUUUUGAAGAAAUUUGAUGGUGCAUGCAGUAGCUGGGAUUGAUAAACCCUAGGAUUGUGAUUUAAUUGGAGUAGAGAUGAGAUGUUGCUUUCGCGGGCUAUGAGGUCGCAAUAUAAAAGGAUGUUUCUGCUGAAAAGAUGAUAUUUGGUGUGGCUGGGAUUGAUCCUGAAAGAAGAGCAGAGCUAAUCAAGCUUGCAUCAUCUCUUGGUCCGCGCUUCUAUUCUAACAUUUUCAAACGCAAGCAAAUAUCAGAAACGGGCGCUCAACAAGCACUGGCCGCUUUUUUUAAUUGGUUUUUAUUUCCUUUUGGUUACAUCAAGAGUAAAGUUAAAGCAUAUUUUUGAUAGGUUUGUAAAUAUGCUACUGGAUACACAAGUUGUUAAGACAAUCCUUCUUGAAAUUCCUUCCCUUGGUAGACAGGUGAUCUAACUUCUGCAAAUACUUUUUAGUCAUCUUUCCUUCCCUUGGAGCUUAAAUCUAGGGAAUCUGACCUCCACAUUUUAAGAGUUGGUGAAUUUACUACGCUGCUGUUCCUUUUACCAAUAGCAUUUAAUUUUCUUUUCAGCUAUAGUUUUAUAUAGAAGAUAUUGAUAAUGAAAUUUUCAAGUGAAAAUUUUCACCAUUUUUCAUCCUUAAACAUAAUUAGAAUGUUGCAUCAAUAUUGAUCUUCAGCCAGUCGUUUGGUGGCACUCUCCAUCUCACUGAUAAGCUAUUUUUCCUUUUAGGUUCUAUUAACUGGUGGUUCUUUUUCUCAUAUAUGUUGUUAUAGUCAGAUUCUAAUUGUCAGUUAGUGGAGUUAGUAAGUCAGUAAGUAUAGAAACUUCAGUUAUAGUAUGGGUGCUUCCAAUCUCCAGCUCAAGCUUAUCAGUUAUUACUUCACUUGAGUUCUUACUUCUCAGAUUGGGAGAUAAAAGGAGAAAAAUUGAAGAAGAUGGGGUUGGGAGUUCCUGCUCUUCCAUUUACCUUUGUGGCUCACCUUCUAGCGGUGGCUGCUAUUGUCAUGGUCUUGCUUUGGAACAUACACUUCAGAGGUGGCUUAGCUUGGGAAGCUACCAACAAAAAUCUCAUAUUCAAUCUCUGAUUCCUUUGACGGAGUUUAGAGAGCAAGUGAUUAUGAAAAGGUUAAUAUAAUGGAAGAGUGUAAAAACAAUUAUUUGUUCUUAUUGAAGAUUUUUUUGAGUCUACCAAAAAAAAUUUUCCUUCUUUAACGGCACCAUUGAAGUUGCCGAGGCCGGUGGCUUUCUUAGCAUGGAAUCUGUCUUCCUUGUUACUCUUGGAAUUGCCCUCUUCGUCCUCCUGGGGCUAUGGAUCCAUGGUCAAAUACAACACCUAUCUAAGGAACUGCACAUGCUCAGUCCAAUGCAAACAAAUCAAAGAAGAAGAAGUAGAUGAACAAAUACUCUCAAGUUUCAGCCACACAAGAGUCUACCAUGGAGUGAAGAAUCAUGUAACUCAGAUUAGAUUGGAGAGUUUAAACUUUAAAGAGAGCAUGAGGAAAUAGUUUUAAAAUUUAGGCUGAAAGUCCUGCUCUUCUCUGUUGUAGUUUAAAAGAAAUUUUGGGGUAUCUUUUUAUUGAGAAAGUGAGAUAUUGGAUAAUGGUGUUGAAAAAUAACAUCCAAUUUUAUAGGUAUCAUGUAAUGAAUAUUAUGUUUAUCUAUGUGAUUUUUGGCUUUCUUUUUUUCAA